GACGAACGCUGGCGGCGUGCUUAACACAUGCAAGUCGAACGGAAAGGCCCUGCUUUUGUGGGGUGCUCGAGUGGCGAACGGGUGAGUAACACGUGAGUAACCUGCCCUUGACUUUGGGAUAACUUCAGGAAACUGGGGCUAAUACCGGAUAGGAGCUCCUGCUGCAUGGUGGGGGUUGGAAAGUUUCGGCGGUUGGGGAUGGACUCGCGGCUUAUCAGCUUGUUGGUGGGGUAGUGGCUUACCAAGGCUUUGACGGGUAGCCGGCCUGAGAGGGUGACCGGCCACAUUGGGACUGAGAUACGGCCCAGACUCCUACGGGAGGCAGCAGUGGGGAAUAUUGCACAAUGGGCGGAAGCCUGAUGCAGCAACGCCGCGUGCGGGAUGACGGCCUUCGGGUUGUAAACCGCUUUCGCCUGUGACGAAGCGUGAGUGACGGUAAUGGGUAAAGAAGCACCGGCUAACUACGUGCCAGCAGCCGCGGUGAUACGUAAGGUGCGAGCGUUGUCCGGAUUUAUUGGGCGUAAAGGGCUCGUAGGUGGUUGAUCGCGUCGGAAGUGUAAUCUUGGGGCUUAACCCUGAGCGUGCUUUCGAUACGGGUUGACUUGAAGAAAGUAGGGGAGAAAGGGAUUCCUGGUGGAGCGGUGGAAUGCGCAGAUAUCAGGAGGAACACCAGUGGCGAGGGCGUUUCUCUGGGCCUUUCCUGACGCUGAGGAGCGAAAGCGUGGGGAGCGAACAGGCUUAGAUACCCUGGUAGUCCACGCUGUAAACGGUGGGUACUAGGUGUGGGGUCCAUUCCACGGGUUCCGUGCCGUAGCUAACGCUUUAAGUACCCCGCCUGGGGAGUACGGCCGCAAGGCUAAAACUCAAAGGAAUUGACGGGGCCCCGCACAAGCGGCGGAGCAUGCGGAUUAAUUCGAUGCAACGCGUAGAACCUUACCUGGGUUUGACAUGGAUCGGGAGUGCUCAGAGAUGGGUGUGCCUCUUUUGGGGUCGGUUCACAGGUGGUGCAUGGCUGUCGUCAGCUCGUGUCGUGAGAUGUUGGGUUAAGUCCCGCAACGAGCGCAACCCUUGUUCACUGUUGCCAGCACGUUAUGGUGGGGACUCAGUGGAGACCGCCGGGGUCAACUCGGAGGAAGGUGGGGAUGACGUCAAGUCAUCAUGCCCCUUAUGUCCAGGGCUUCACGCAUGCUACAAUGGCUGGUACAGAGAGUGGCGAGCCUGUGAGGGUGAGCGAAUCUCGGAAAGCCGGUCUCAGUUCGGAUUGGGGUCUGCAACUCGACCUCAUGAAGUCGGAGUCGCUAGUAAUCGCAGAUCAGCAACGCUGCGGUGAAUACGUUCCCGGGGCU
rnacentral:rRNA from 1 species